rnacentral:rRNA from 1 species
CUUUCGAUGGUAGGAUAGAGGCCUACCAUGGUGGUAACGGGUAACGGGGUGUUAGGGCACGACACCGGAGAGGGAGCCUGAGAAACGGCUACCACAUCCAAGGAUGGCAGCAGGCGCGCAAAUUACCCAAUCCCGACACGGGGAGGUAGUGACAAUAAAUAACAAUACGGGGUUCUUUCGGAUUUCGUAAUUGGAAUGAGUACAAUUUAAAUCUCUUAACGAGGAACAAUUGGAGGGCAAGUCUGGUGCCAGCAGCCGCGGUAAUUCCAGCUCCAAUAGCGUAUAUUAAAGUUGCUGCAGUUAAAAAGCUCGUAGUUGAAUUUCGGGACCAUCAUGUCGGUCGUGCCUCGGUACGUACUGGCAUUGUUGGUUUCUCCCUUCUGACGAACCAUGAUGUCAUUUAUUUGGUGUUGUGGGGAAUCAGGACUGUUACUUUGAAAAAAUUAGAGUGUUUAAAGCAGGCUCACGCUUGAAUACAUUAGCAUGGAAUAAUGAAAUAGGACGUUUGAUUCUAUUUUGUUGGUUUCUAGGAUCGACGUAAUGAUUAAUAGGGAUAGUUGGGGGCAUUAGUAUUCAAUUGUCAGAGGUGAAACUCUUGGAUUUAUUGAAGACUAACUACUGCGAAAGCAUUUGCCAAGGAUGUUUUCAUUAAUCAAGAACGAAAGUUAGGGGAUCGAAGACGAUCAGAUACCGUCGUAGUCUUAACCAUAAACUAUGCCGACUAGGGAUCGGAUGAUGUUAAUUUUUUAAUGACUCAUUCGGCGCCUUACGGGAAACCAAAGUGUUUGGGUUC